rnacentral:lncRNA from 1 species
UGUGUCACCAAAUACAUUAUGGAAGUUACUAAAAACAAUUGUCAACAAUCACAAUCAUUUCGAACUAUUUCAUUGACAUGAUGUUUCUAUCUUGUCCAAAAAUGACAGCCAUUUUUGUCCGAAAGUGAGAGAAGUCGGGGUAACAAAUUAAGAAGAUGGUAAAAUAUAUAACGUGGGAAAGCGAAAAGCACAUGGCCUCAUGCCUAGCUAAUGGGAAUAAACGACUCAAAGCUUUCUCCAACGACGCAUGUUUUGUUUCUAGCGACAACUAUGCCCAUGAAAGCAUAUGAUAUGUAAAUUGUGCAUAACCAUAUUGCUUCCAUCACUAGCUUAAUCUACGGCUUGUCUCUGCUACUUUUCAAAAACUGUAUGAUCUUUGUCAAAGCUGCAAUGGUUACUCACAUUUAAAUAGAAAGCUUUCAAAAAAAUAAAAUUAUGUAUAACCAUAUGGUGCACAUGUGCUCUUUCGUUAUCGCCAAUUAUUCUGCAUGCCAC